rnacentral:rRNA from 1 species
AAUAAAAAUAUCUUUGGUUGGGGCAACCACGAAGAAAAAAAAACCUUCGUUCUAAAAAAGAAAUUAACAAAUUAAAAACUUAAAAAAAGAAAAAGAUCCAGAAAAUACUGAUCAAAGAAAAAAGUUACCGCAGGGAUAACAGCGUUAUUCUCUUUAAGAGCUCGUAUUGACAAGAGAGUUUGCGACCUCGAUGUUGGACCGGGGCACCCAAGAGGUGUAGCAGCCUCUAAAGGUGGGUCUGUUCGACCCUUAAAGCCCUACGUGAU